CUCCUGACAGAGCCUCCUGGGACACUCCAGAGCUGGUCCACUUCCCCUGCCCUGAGUGUCUGUGGCUUCCUCUCCUUCACCACUCACCACAAUUUAAUCAGGUUCCGUCUCCAGUGCCUGGCUCUCAACAGGAACUUCUGUUGUUGCAUGUUGAAAAUUUUCAACAAGCAGAAAUCGGCUGAGGGUGCAUUCCAAGAGAGGGAACAGCAUAAGCAAAGGCUCUGAGGCCAGAGUGGGAAGCAUCUCUCCAUCCCUUCCACUUCCCUCAGGGGCCAAUGAAUGGAUGGGGUUUCCCAAAGCCACACCCACUCUUUCCUGGCCAGCCAACAACGGACUCCACUGUAGGUGUUGAAGGCAAAUCUACGCCGUUUCCCAGAAGUCUCUGCAGCACCAACCCUCAGCUGCCCACUGCUGUACGCUGCUCAUUAGCACACCCUUCGCGGGCUCCAGCCCUUCCUGUCUCACGUCUCCACUCUCGCCUCCACUCUACCACCUCCCAAAUAAACUGCUUGCCC
rnacentral:lncRNA from 1 species